ensembl:snRNA U6 U6 spliceosomal RNA
GUGCUCACUUCGGCAGCACAUAUGCUAAAAUUGGAAUGAUACAGAGAAGAUUAGUAUGGCCACUGAGCAAGGAUGACAUAUAAAUUCAUGAAGCAUUCCAUAUUUUU